rnacentral:rRNA from 1 species
AGAGUUUGAUCCUGGCUCAGGAUGAACGCUAGCGACAGGCCUAACACAUGCAAGUCGAGGGGCAGCAUUUCUAGCUUGCUAGAAGAUGGCGACCGGCGCACGGGUGAGUAACGUGUAUGCAACCUACCUUAUACUGGGGGAUAGCCCAAAGAAAUUUGGAUUAAUACCGCAUAACAUAUUUGAAUCGCAUGGUUUAGAUAUUAAAACUCCGGUGGUAUAAGAUGGGCAUGCGUAGCAUUAGUUAGUUGGUGAGGUAACGGCUCACCAAGACUAUGAUGCUUAGGGGGUCUGAGAGGAUAGUCCCCCACACUGGUACUGAGACACGGACCAGACUCCUGCGGGAGGCAGCAGUGAGGAAUAUUGGUCAAUGGACGAAAGUCUGAACCAGCCAUGUCGCGUGCAGGAUGACGGCCCUAUGGGUUGUAAACUGCUUUUUUUACAGGAAUAAUUGUCGAUACGUGUAUCGAUUUGAAUGUACUGUAUGAAUAAGGAUCGGCUAACUCCGUGCCAGCAGCCGCGGUAAUACGGAGGAUUCGAGCGUUAUCCGGAUUUAUUGGGUUUAAAGGGUCCGUAGGCGGUUCUUUAAGUCAGUGGUGAAAUCCCAGAGCUCAACUCUGGAACUGCCAUUGAAACUGAAGAACUUGAAUAUGGUUGAGGUAGGCGGAAUACGUUAUGUAGCGGUGAAAUGCAUAGAUAUAACGUAGAACACCAAUUGCGAAGGCAGCUUACUAAACCAUUAUUGACGCUGAUGGACGAAAGCGUGGGGAGCGAACAGGAUUAGAUACCCUGGUAGUCCACGCCGUAAACGAUGAUUACUCGUUGUGCACAAUACAUCGUGCGUGACUGAGCGAAAGCAUUAAGUAAUCCACCUGGGGAGUACGUUCGCAAGAAUGAAACUCAAAGGAAUUGACGGGGGCCCGCACAAGCGGAGGAACAUGUGGUUUAAUUCGAUGAUACGCGAGGAACCUUACCUGGACUUAAAUGUAGAUUGACCGGUUUAGAAAUAGAUCUUUCCUUCGGGACAAUUUACAAGGUGCUGCAUGGUUGUCGUCAGCUCGUGCCGUGAGGUGUCGGGUUAAGUCCCAUAACGAGCGCAACCCCUAUCGUUAGUUGCUAGCAGGUAAUGCUGAGGACUCUAGCGAGACUGCCACCGUAAGGUGAGAGGAAGGUGGGGAUGACGUCAAAUCAGCACGGCCCUUACGUCCAGGGCUUCACACGUGUUACAAUGGCCAGUACAAAGGGCAGCUACCUGGUGACAGGAUGCUAAUCUCAAAAGCUGGUCUCAGUUCGGAUCGGAGUCUGCAACUCGACUCCGUGAAGUUGGAUUCGCUAGUAAUCGUAUAUCAGCAAUGAUACGGUGAAUACGUUCCCGGGCCCUGUACACACCGCCCGUCAAGCCAUGGAAGCCGAGGGUGCCUGAAGUACGUUACCGCAAGGAGCGUCCUAGGGUAAAAUUGGUAACUGGGGCUAAGUCGGAACAAGGUA